CACACACACACACACACACACACACACACACACACACACACUUCUCUACAGUAUGAGACCUGAAACAAGGCAAAGCAUCUCUUUGGUUGACCUUUGCUGGGAACAUCUUUUUGUUGCCAUUCUGUACAUGUGCAGGAAUGACCAAGGAAGUACUAUGAAUACUGAUUUGGGGGUUACAAAUACAUUUUAAUGUGUAGGCAAAUUUGCAUAUACAGAAUCCAUAAUGAGGAUCAACUUAUUUGCAAAUCAUAAUACAGACAGUCCCCAACUUAUGAUGGACUUAAGAUGGAUUUACUAACACAUAAUCCCAUGGUAACCUAACCCCAUAGUAAACUGAGAAACACAUGGAUUUAUAAUUUAUGAUUGUGACCAGGUGCAGUGGCUCAUGCCUGUAAUCCUGGCACUUUGGGAGGCUGAGGUGGGUGGAUCACCUGAGGUCAGGAGUUUGAGACCAAUCUGGCCAACAUGGUGAAACCCCGUCUCUACUAAAAAUAUAAAAAUUAGAUGGGCAUGGUGGCGGGCACCUGUAAUCCCAGCUACUUGGGAGGCUGAGGCAUGAGAAUCGCUUGAACCAAGGAGGCAGAGGUUGCAGUGAACUAAGAUGGUGCCACUGCACUCCAGCCUGGGCAACAGAGACUCUGUCUCAAAAAAUAGUAAUAGUUUAUGAUAGUUCAAGUUUAUGGUGAGUUCAUCAGGGUAUUAAAUGGAUUUUCAACUUACAAAAAUUUUAACUUACAAUGGGUUUAUCAGGACAAACCCCAUUCUAAGUCAAGAAGCAACUGUAUCUGAUAAAGCUGUAACAUCCAGAAUAUAUAAAGAACUAAAACUCAGCAACAAAAAGGCAACCCAAUUAAAAACUGGGCAAAGGAUUGAACAAACUUUCAAUAUAUUCAAAGGAAGAUAUACAAAUAAUUAUGUGAAAAGAUGUAGUUUUGAUUUGCAUUUUCCUAAUGACAUUAUCACUCAUCAUUAGGGAAACACAAAUCAAAACCACAAUGAGACACCACUUCAUACUUACUAGGAUGGUUAUAAUUUUUAUUAUUUUAUUUUUAGAGAUGGGGUCUCACUAUAUUGCUCUCACUGGCCUCAAAUACCUAGGCUCAAGUGAUCCUCCCACCUCAGCCUCCCUGGUAGCUGGGACUACAGACACAGACCAUCGCACUGGGCUUAUAAUCACUUUUUAAAACUGAAAAUGAAAGGUGUUGGCAAAAAUGUGGAGAAACUGGAAUGCUUGUAUAUUGCUAGUGGAACGUAAAAUGGUACAGAUGCUUCAGAGAACAUUUUAGCACUGUGGAAGAGUUUGGUGGUUCCUCAACAAAUUAAACACAGAAUACCACAUGAUUCAGGAAUACUACUCCUUGAUAUACUCAAAAGAACUGAAAAUGGGUACUCAGAUCCUUGUAUACCAAUGUUCACCGCAGCAUUAUUCACAAUUGCCAAAAGGCGGGAAAAAAACAAGUUUCCAUCAACAGAUACAUGGAUAAACAAAAUGUGUGUGGGAGGAAGUGCACGUGUACAGACAAACACACACACACACACACAAUAAAACAUAAAUCAGCCAUGAAAAGAAACAAAGUCUUGAUAUACGCUAAAACAUGGAUGAACUUGAAAACAUUAUAAGUUAAAAUAAGCCAGACACAAAAGGGCAAAUAUUUUAGGAUUCUACUUCUUUGAAAUAUCAAGAAUACACAAAUUCAUAGAGACAAAAAGUAGAUUAGAGGUUACCAGGGGCUGGGAGGAAUGGGGAGUUAUUGCUUAAUGGUUCCGAGUUUCUGUCUGGGGUGAUGAAAAACUUUUGGAAAAGUGGUGAAGGUGGUGCAGCACUGUGAAUAUAAUUAAUGCCAUUGAAUUUACACUUAAAAACUGGUAUAAUGGCAAAUAGUAUGUGAUAUAUAUUUUACCACAAUGUUUUAAAAAUUGACUUUGUUAAUAAAAUGAAAAAAAAAAGGUCACUGUAAACUACUAAUCACUACUUUUAUUUUGUAUUCAAGGUCACAAUCAACCAGAAGAGGGUUCUUUUGCUCUGUCAA
rnacentral:lncRNA from 10 species